GUUGUAGAAAGCAAACUUGAUGUGUCUUUCUUUGCCUCUCGUUUCAUCAAUGUCUGAUAGAAUUCAACAAGUUCAGGAGCUCGGUGAACUUUAUCACCACUGCCUGCCCCUCUAGGUAGGCUGCCUGGAGGAGGAGGCGGAGGUGGUCGUCCACCAGGAGGUGGCGGUGGUGGUGGUGGCGCACCAGGUGGUGGAGGUUGUCCUGCUGCAGUGGUAUUUGCAUCAGCAGAAAUGCCACUGGAUGGCUUUGGUGGUGGUCUGGCCACCCUAGGUGGUCUCUUUUCAAUGUGGGCAAGUUUCAUCUUGCUGAUAGUUUGAGAGUCUACAGCCUUAUCGUCAUUGGAUUGCUCAUUUGAGUGACCAGAAACAACUGACUUCUCCUUUAUUUGAGCAA
rnacentral:lncRNA from 1 species